rnacentral:rRNA from 1 species
UACGUAGGGAGCAAGCGUUGUUCGGAUUUACUGGGCGUAAAGGGCGCGUAGGCGGCGCGGUAAGUCACUUGUGAAAUCUCUGAGCUUAACUCAGAAACUGCCAUGGAUACUAUUUGUCUUGAAUAUUGUGGAGGUGAGCGGAAUAUGUCAUGUAGCGGUGAAAUGCUUAGAUAUGACAUAGAACACCAAUUGCGAAGGCAGCUCACUACACAGUUAUUGACGCUGAGGCACGAAAGCGUGGGGAUCAAACAGG